rnacentral:rRNA from 1 species
CUACGGGUCGCACCAGUGAGGAAUAUUGCACAAUGGGGGGAACCCUGAUGCAGCAACGCCGCGUGGAGGAUGACGCAUUUCGGUGUGUAAACUCCUUUUAUAUGUCAAGAAAAUGACGGUAGCAUAUGAAUAAGCACCGGCUAACUCCGUGCCAGCAGCCGCGGUAAUACGGAGGGAGCAAGCGUUAUUCGGAAUCACUGGGCGUAAAGGACGCGUAGGCGGGUUGGAAAGUCAGGUGUGAAAUCCUACAGCUUAACUGUAGAACUGCACUUGAAACUUCUAAUCUAGAGUAUGGGAGGGGGAGAUGGAAUUAGUGGUGUAGGGGUAAAAUCCGUAGAUAUCACUAGGAAUACCUAAAGCGAAGGCGAUCUCCUGGAACAUUACUGACGCUAAGGCGUGAAAGCGUGGGGAGCAAACAGGAUUAGAUACCCGCGUAGUC